rnacentral:rRNA from 1 species
AUUGAACGCUGGCGGCAGGCCUAACACAUGCAAGUCGAGCGGCAGCGGAAAGUAGCUUGCUACUUUGCCGGCGAGCGGCGGACGGGUGAGUAAUGUCUGGGAAACUGCCUGAUGGAGGGGGAUAACUACUGGAAACGGUAGCUAAUACCGCAUAACGUCGCAAGACCAAAGAGGGGGACCUUCGGGCCUCUUGCCAUCAGAUGUGCCCAGAUGGGAUUAGCUAGUAGGUGGGGUAACGGCUCACCUAGGCGACGAUCCCUAGCUGGUCUGAGAGGAUGACCAGCCACACUGGAACUGAGACACGCGCCAGACUCCUACGGGAGGCAGCAGUGGGGAAUAUUGCACAAUGGGCGCAAGCCUGAUGCAGCCAUGCCGCGUGUAUGAAGAAGGCCUUCGGGUUGUAAAGCACUUUCAGCGGGGAGGAAGGUGUUGAGGUUAAUAACCUCAGCAAUUGACGUUACCCGCAGAAGAGGCACCGGCUAACUCCGUGCCAGCAGCCGCCGUAACAC